AGCCAACUCAUAUGGUUCUACACCUCUCAUGCCAGAUAGUAAGCUCAACACUUUAUAUAUUCUCGUUUAUGUUAUUUUGUCAUUUGUUAACUAAUAUAAUAUUCUUUGUAUUAGAUAUUUUGUGCUCAAGUUCAGAGGAUAGGGGGUCACCAGUGACCCCACAGUGGCAUGCAGCAGCGACCAUCGACUCUCAAACAUAGCGUCGUGGUCGAGGAUCCAUUUCACUUGCAGCACCUCCGACUCAAUCAGAGGAUAGAGAGAUCAUCCAUAUCCAGAGCCGCUCGUAAGUACUACAUGCUUAAUUAAUAUGUUUAAAAUUUAGUAAU
rnacentral:lncRNA from 1 species